rnacentral:lncRNA from 10 species
AAGAUUCUUAAUUGCAUCUGCAAAGACCCUUUUUCCGAACAAGAUCCCGUUCACAGGCUCUGGGCGGGCAUAUCUUUUAGAGGCCACCAUUCAACCCACUACAGCCUGCAUGGGAGACUGAGAAAUGACAGGCUUUUGGGGACAAUUUACACUUUUAAGCCACAUAUUAUAGUACCAGCUUUCCUGCCGCAGGUGGGGCUGGGAGUCUGGGUCUCUCAUGCCCACAUGGGGCCCAGCCAGAACUUGGCCUACUG